UACGGAGGGUGCGAGCGUUGUCCGGAAUCAUUGGGCGUAAAGGGCGCGUAGGUGGCCCUCUAAGCGUGCGGUGAAAGCCUGGGGCUCAACCCCGGGUCGGCCGUGCGAACUGGGGGGCUUGAGCACUGUAGAGGCAGGCGGAAUUCCGGGUGUGAGCGGUGGAAUGCGUAGAGAUCCGGAAGAACACCAGUGGCGAAGGCGGCUCUCUGGGACGGUACUGACGCUGAGACGCGAAAGCGUGGGGAGCGAACAGG
rnacentral:rRNA from 1 species